UGUCCAGUAGCACCUUAGAGACCAACUAAGUUUGUUCUGGGUAUAAGCUUUUGUGUGCAUGCACAAGUUGGUCUCUAAGGUGCUACUGGACA